CAAAUAAACAAGGUGCAGACAGCUGUGGAUUAAUGGUGCAAACCUAUACCAACUGUAAGACCUGCGCCGAGGAGAAGGUUGUCUGCGCCGGGGGCCCUCCAAAAAAUCAAGACUACUUGGAGAGAUGCAGCUGCCUGUGCACC